GACGAACGCUGGCGGCGUGCUUAACACAUGCAAGUCGAACGGAAAGGCCCGGCUUUUGUGGGGUGCUCGAGUGGCGAACGGGUGAGUAACACUUGAGUAACCUGCCCUUGACUUUGGGAUAACUUCAGGAAACUGGGGCUAAUACCGGAUAGGAGCUCCUGCUGCAUGGUGGUGGUUGGAAAGGUUCGGCGGUUGGGGAUGGACUCGCGGCUUAUCAGCUUGUUGGUGGGGUAGUGGCUUACCAAGGCUUUGACGGGUAGCCGGCCUGAGAGGGUGACCGGCCACAUUGGGACUGAGAUACGGCCCAGACUGCUACGGGAGGCAGCAGUGGGGAAUAUUGCACAAUGGGCGGAAGCAUGAUGCAGCAACGCCGCGUGGGGGAUGACGGCCUUCUGGUUGUAAACCGCUUUCGCCUGUGACGAAGCGUGAGUGACGGUAAUGGGUAAAGAAGCACCGGCUAACUACGUG
rnacentral:rRNA from 1 species